CGCACCUUGGCCGAGAGACUAGGCAACUGCCUGCAAAGCAGAUGAGCGCGGUUAAAUUCCGCGAGGUGCGUCCA
rnacentral:tRNA from 1 species